ACUGGGGUGAAGUCGUAACAAGGUAGCCGGAUCGGAAGGUGCGGCUGGAUCACCUCCUUUCUAAGGAGA
rnacentral:rRNA from 1 species